UACAGAGGUCUCAAGCGUUGUUCGGAUUCAUUGGGCGUAAAGGGUGCGUAGGUGGCUGCGUAAGUCGGGUGUGAAAUCCCGGGGCUCAACCCCGGAACUGCACUCGAUACUGCGUGGCUUGAGUACUGGAGAGGAGAUUGGAAUUUACGGUGUAGCAGUGAAAUGCGUAGAGAUCGGGAGGAACACCAGAGGCGAAGGCGGCGACCUGGACAGGUACUGACACUCAACUACGAAAGCGUGGGGAGCAAACAGG
rnacentral:rRNA from 1 species